rnacentral:rRNA from 1 species
GGCCUUCGGGUUGUAAACUGCUUUUGUACGGAACGAAAAGGCCCUGGUGAACAACCGGGGUUGCUUGACGGUACCGUAAGAAUAAGCACCGGCUAACUACGUGCCAGCAGCCGCGGUAAUACGUAGGGUGCGAGCGUUAAUCGGAAUUACUGGGCGUAAAGCGUGCGCAGGCGGACAUGCAAGACAGAUGUGAAAUCCCCGGGCUCAACCUGGGAACUGCAUAUGUGACUGUAUGACUGGAGUACGGGCAGAGGGGGAUGGAAUUCCCGCGUGUAGCAGUGAAAUGCGUAGAUAUGCGGAGGAACACCGAUGGCGAAGGCAAUCCCCUGGGCCAGUACUGACGCUCAUGCACGAAAGCGUGGGGAGCAAACAGGAUUAGAUACCCUGGUAGUCC